rnacentral:rRNA from 1 species
GAGGUCCCGCCUGCCCAGUGACUGUUCAACGGCCGCGGUAUCCUAACCGUGCAAAGGUAGCGUAAUCACUUGUCUUUUAAAUAAGGACUAGUAUGAAAGGCGCCACGAGGGCUAAGCUGUCUCCUUUUUCUAAUCAGUGAAUCUGAUCCCCCUGUGAAGAAGCAGGGAUAUUCGUAUAAGACGAGAAGACCCUAUGGAGCUUAAAACAAUUGUGAGUUUUUGGUUGGGGUGACCGCGGAGAAUAACUAAUCCUCCACAGUGAAAAAUAAGUUACAACUUUAUGUAUCAAUAAAUUGACACCCAUUGACCCAAUACACUUGAUCAACGAACCAAGUUACCCUAGGGAUAACAGCGCCAUCCACUUUAAGAGCUCCUAUCGACAAGUGGGCUUACGACCUCGAUGUUGGAUCGGGAUAUCCUAGUGGUGCAGCCGCUACUAAGGGU